AAAUGACUGGAAAUUGCAAAUUUCGCAAGGCUAUAUUUUCCGCAUUUUACAACAUUUUGCAACGAAACUUUGGAAUAUUACUAAUUUUGUGAUGCUCUUUCAAGCUGUGAUGAAAUUUUUGUUGAGAUCAAAAUUUAGUCUAUUACGCAAAUGGUUAUGCGGGGUUCUAGUGUAGGUAGUAAUGAACAAAUAAUCGUGAAGGAUUGUGGGUCAAACUAUCUUGUACUUUUCAGAUAGUUUGACCCUGCAUUCCCCACUAAUAAAACAGUUCUUCAAAUAAAGAACACAAUCUUAGGAGCACAUCCUUCUAAAUUUUGUGCUCAUGGCCAUAUAUUAUUUGUAUUCUCUUAUUGAGGAGUUUUAAAACUUGAAAAUGAAACCGCAGAAGGUGUGGGAAAGCAACGCAUUAUAUCAAAAUGGACGCUAGUUCCCAGACCUUCUAUUGUUUUAUAAUAUGUAAGAAAAUAAAGAGAAAACUACGAUAGACGUCGAGAUAUUUCAAGACGAGUUUGUGCAUGAGAGGACAUAUACAAUGUAAACAAGGACAUUAGUUUCCCAGUUUCUGUGGGAGAUUUCUAUUUUCUAACGAUGUUUAAAUCUAUACAAUGGGUUGUCCAGUGGUUGAAACAUUAUAUUUGUUUUAAGGAAACAUUGCCAGUUUAAGCUUCCUGUGUCGUCUAUUAUACAAACUCGUCUUUAAUAUAUCUCAACAUAUUAGACUAUAACUAAGUAUAAUUUAAUAUUUUGAUAGUUACAUUUAAUGUUCGAGAAAAUGUAAACCUAAGACUAAGUUCUUUGUAUGUUUUUAAAAUGUAAACCUGUUAUGUUUUUUAAAGUAACAAUAGUUUUAGUUUUGUUUGAUGACUGACUAUAUUACGGUAAUCAUUACGUGAAACGCAGUGAUUACCUUGCCUUUGCGUGAUUCAUAAUCAGUUAUGAAUAAUUAAAUAAAAAUUAAUUCUAAAGAACGAAAUAUGGUUUGAUAUAUGAGACCUAGGCCUGUUUCAAACGUCGCACAUCUCAUGUGCGGAACGCAUUAAAAACAAUAGAUAAUGAGGC